GGAAAACCACCUUUUCAGGCCAAUAGUCCUCAAGACUUAAGGAUGUUUUAUGAAAAAAACAGGAGCUUAAUGCCUAGUAUUCCCAGAGAAACAUCACCUUAUUUGGCUAAUCUCCUUUUGGGUUUGCUUCAGAGAAACCAAAAAGAUAGAAUGGACUUUGAAGCAUUUUUUAGCCAUCCUUUUCUUGAGCAAGGUCCAGUAAAAAAAUCUUGCCCAGUUCCAGUGCCCAUGUAUUCUGGUUCUGUCUCUGGAAGCUCCUGUGGCAGCUCUCCAUCUUGUCGUUUUGCUUCUCCACCAUCCCUUCCAGAUAUGCAGCAUAUUCAGGAAGAAAACUUAUCUUCCCCACCAUUGGGUCCUCCCAACUAUCUACAAGUUUCCAAAGAUUCUGCCAGUACUAGUAGCAAGAACUCUUCUUGUGACACGGAUGACUUUGUUUUGGUGCCACACAACAUCUCGUCAGACCACUCAUAAAGAAAUAGAGAAACCAGCAGA
rnacentral:lncRNA from 1 species